GGGGAUUUAGCUCAGUGGCAUAAGCACCUGCCUUGCAAGCAGGAGGUCGUGAGUUCGAUCCUUGGUCCCGA
rnacentral:tRNA from 1 species